GGCCGUCUGGCGCAAUGGUAGCGCGUAGCCCUCCUAUUUGAGAUGCAAGGCUAAGGUUGUGGGUUCGAGUCCCACGGUGGUCG